AAAAAGUUGAGAAAGAAAUGGAAGAAAAGCAAAAGAGAAGAAAUUCUUAUCAAAAGAGGUAAGUUUUCAAAAACGUUAAAGAUAGAAAACAUGGAUGAAGUAUGACAUGAACGGACACCAUGUUUUCAAGUGAGGGAGUGAAGAUGAUUUAUAAUUGUGACAUAUAUUAAGGUAAAGAAAUGAAUAUGUUAUCAACAUAUAAAUAUGAGUGAUUAAUUUGAAUAGUAACU
rnacentral:lncRNA from 1 species